AGUUUGAUCAUGGCUCAGAUUGAACGCUGGCGGCAGGCCUAACACAUGCAAGUCGAGCGGAUGACAGGAGCUUGCUCCUGGAUUCAGCGGCGGACGGGUGAGUAAUGCCUAGGAAUCUGCCUGGUAGUGGGGGACAACGUUUCGAAAGGAACGCUAAUACCGCAUACGUCCUACGGGAGAAAGCAGGGGACCUUCGGGCCUUGCGCUAUCAGAUGAGCCUAGGUCGGAUUAGCUUGUUGGUGAGGUAAUGGCUCACCAAGGCGACGAUCCGUAACUGGUCUGAGAGGAUGAUCAGUCACACUGGAACUGAGACACGGUCCAGACUCCUACGGGAGGCAGCAGUGGGGAAUAUUGGACAAUGGGCGAAAGCCUGAUCCAGCCAUGCCGCGUGUGUGAAGAAGGUCUUCGGAUUGUAAAGCACUUUAAGUNNNAGGAAGGGUUGUAGAUUAAUACUCUGCAAUUUUGACGUUACCGACAGAAUAAGCACCGGCUAACUCUGUGCCA
rnacentral:rRNA from 1 species